AGCCAUAUCAUGUUGAAACACCAGUUCUCAUCCAAUCAUCAAAGUUAAGCAAUUUUGAGCCUGGCCAGUACUUGGAUGGGUCACAAUUUGGGAAUACAAGGUACUGUCA